rnacentral:rRNA from 1 species
UAGUCCACGCCGUAAACGAUGGAUACUAGGUGUUUGGGAAAAUUAUCUUCCUGAGUACUACAGCUAACGCAUUAAGUAUCCCACCUGGGGAGUACGGUCGCAAGGCUAAAACUCAAAGGAAUUGACGGGGGCCCGCACAAGCGGUGGAGUAUUGUGGUUUAAUUCGAAGCAACGCGCAGAACCUUACCUACCCUUAACACCCCAGGACGACUACAGAGAUGUAGUUUUCUCUUCGGAGACUUGGUGAUAGGUGCUGCAUGGCUGUCGUCAGCUCGUGUCGUAAGAUGUUCGGUUAAGUCCGGUAACGAGCGCAACCCUUAUCUGUAGUUGCCAGCAUUAAGUUGGGCACUUUACAGAGACUGCCGGUGUCAAACCGGAGGAAGGCGGGGAUGACGUCAAGUCCUCAUGGCCCUUACGGGUAGGGCUACACACGUACUACAAUGGCAGAAACAAACCGUUGUGAAGCCGCGAGGUGGAACCAAUCGGUAAAACACUGUCACAGUCCGGAUUGAAGUCUGCAACUCGACUUCA